GAUGAAGAACGUAGCGAAAUGCGAUACUUGGUGUGAAUUGCAGAAUCCCGUGAACCAUCGAGUCUUUGAACGCAAGUUGCGCCCGAAGCCACUAGGCCGAGGGCACGCCUGCCUGGCGUCACACGCCGUUGCCCCCCCAUCUACUCCUUCGGGAUUGCGGGGGGGCGGAUGAUGGCCUCCCGUGCGCCUAGCCGCGCGGUUGGCAUAAAUACCAAGUCCUCGGCGACGCACGCCACGACAAUCGGUGGUUGCGAAACCUCGGUUGCCCGUCGUGUGCGUUCGUCGCGCAUCGAGGGCUCGAAAAAAUGCUCGGCUCCGGCUGGGCUUUCAACGCGACCCCAGGUCAGGCGGGGUUACCCGCUGAAUUUAAGCAUAUCAAUAAGCGGAGGA
rnacentral:misc_RNA from 1 species